CGAAAGAGGGCAGAGUACCAGCCAUCGGUCUCCACACGCAGCCUGCCCAGUUGCACCCUGCAGGGGCCACGAUCAGCCCACCGCCCAGCGAGGCCCAGAGAGCCAGCAACAAGGCUCUGGUAACAUCUCCUGGCCUCGUGAAUCUGCCAUGAAAGCCUCUUGGAUGAGCCUUAACAAGAUGCGUCCAGAAACAGAAAGCACCGAUCUGCUCCAGAAAUAACUUGCCCUGGGAGCCGACACAUAGCCUGCAGCCGAGUUUUUUGGUGAAGCCCUAAGUUCAGGGGCUGAACGAAGAAGGGAGUCCUGAUUCUGAUCUAAGUGUAACAGGUUAGAGGGCCCUGUACUUCCUCGCCCAGAUAAAGGGCCACUUUGGAAAACAUAUUCCAUUUUACCAACAAUUGUGGGAUCCAACUCUGUGCAAGUUCCGGGCGCCUGGGAUACAUCAAUAAAAAAAAAGCCCCCAAAAAAGGCCAGAACAAAAACAAAUGUUGUCUUCGUGAGCCUAGAUAUAAAAAGUGCAUCUCUCAAACUUGUGAA